rnacentral:rRNA from 1 species
UACAGAGGGGGCAAGCGUUGUUCGGAAUUACUGGGCGUAAAGGGCGCGUAGGCGGCCUGCUAAGUCGAACGUGAAAUCCCUGGGCUCAACCCAGGAACUGCGUCCGAUACUGGUUGGCUUGAAUCCGGGAGAGGGAUGUGGAAUUCCUGGUGUAGCGGUGAAAUGCGCAGAUAUCAGGAGGAACACCGGUGGCGAAGGCGGGUCUCUGGGCCGAUACUGACGCUGAGGAGCGAAAGCGUGGGGAGCGAACAGG